CCUACGGGUGGCAGCAGUGGGGAAUAUUGGGCAAUGGGCGCAAGCCUUACCCAGCAAUACAGCGUGAGUGAAGAAGGUCCUCGGAUUGUAAAGCUCUUUGAUCGGGGACGUACAGAUGACCAUACCUGAAGAACAAGCCCCGGCUAACUACGUGCCAGCAGCCGCGGUAAAACGGAGGGGGCGAGCGUUGUGCGGAAUGAAUGGGGGUAAAGGGUGCGUAGGGGGCAUAAUAAGUUAGAAGUGAAAUACCCAGAGCUUAACUCGGGUGCUGCUUCUAAGACUGUUGGGCUUGAGUGCGGGAGAGGUUAAUGGAAUUCCUGGUGUAGCGGUGAAAUGCGUAGAUAUUAGGAGGAACACCGGAGGCGAAGGCGAUUAACUGGACCGUAACUGACGCUGAGGCACGAAAGUGUGGGUAGCAAACAGGAUUAGAUACCCCAGUAGUC
rnacentral:rRNA from 1 species